rnacentral:rRNA from 1 species
CCUACGGGGGGCAGCAGUGGGGAAUAUUGCGCAAUGGGCGAAAGCCUGACGCAGCGACGCCGCGUGAGGGAUGAAGGUCUUCGGAUCGUAAACCUCUGUCAGCAGGGAAGAACGGUCACUGUGCUAAUCAGCAGUGAAUUGACGGUACCUGCAAAGGAAGCACCGGCUAACUCCGUGCCAGCAGCCGCGGUAAUACGGAGGGUGCGAGCGUUAAUCGGAAUUACUGGGCGUAAAGCGCUCGUAGGCGGUAUGUCAAGUCAAGGGUGAAAUCCCCGCGCUCAACGUGGGAACUGCCUUUGAAACUGGCAAACUGGAGUGUGUGAGAGGAUAGUGGAAGUCCAGGUGUAGGAGUGAAAUGCGUAGAUAUCUGGAGGAACAUCAGUGGCGAAGGCGACUAUCUGGCACAUAACUGACGCUGAGGAGCGAAAGCGUGGGUAGCAAACAGGAUUAGAUACCCGAGUAGUC